UACGUAGGGGGCAAGCGUUAUCCGGAAUUACUGGGCGUAAAGCGCACGCAGGCGGUUCGCCAAGUUUGGAGUGACAGUUGUCGGCUCAACCGACAAAGAACUUCAAAAACUGGUGAACUUGAGGACGAGAGAGGAACAUGGAACUCCAGGUGUAGUAGUGAAAUGCGUAGAUAUCUGGAAGAACACCAAUGGCGAAGGCAAUGUUCUGGCUCGUUUCUGACGCUCAGGUGCGAAAGCCAGGGGAGCGAACGGG
rnacentral:rRNA from 1 species